rnacentral:rRNA from 1 species
UACGUAGGGUGCAAGCGUUGUCCGGAAUCAUUGGGCGUAAAGCGCGCGUAGGUGGCUUCGUAAGUCCGUUGUGAAAGUCAAAGGCUCAACCUUUGAAUGCCGAUGGAUACUGCGAAGCUAGAGUACGGAAGAGGCGAGUGGAAUUCCUGGUGUAGCGGUGGAAUGCGCAGAUAUCAGGAGGAACACCGAUGGCGAAGGCAGGUCUCUGGGCCACUACUGACGCUGAGAAGCGAAAGCAUGGGGAGCGAACAGG